AUUUUCAGAUACCAAUUCUAGCCCGAAAGUUCAAAAUCAAGUGGUGGGCCAAAACCGAUCUUGAAGCCUGUGGCCCAACGGCCAUAGAACAAUUUUUUUCAAAUUAUCCUCAAUAUUGCAAACUUCCAAGCCCAUCUUCUAUAACCAAGCAAGAAACCUUUUUAGCCCGAAAACAACAUAUUAUGACCCAAAUGGCUGCUUG
rnacentral:lncRNA from 1 species